UUGAGGCUCAGUGAUAGAGCGCUUGCCUAGCAUGCAUGAGGCACUGGGUUCAAUCCCCAGCACCAAA
rnacentral:tRNA from 1 species